GUACGCCACCUCAGUCACCAAUAUAGGAAAGCUGAAGCAUUAAGAAAAAGAGACAAGGUUGCAGUGGUCCAGGUUGGAGCCUGCACGAGCUGUUGCUAUACGGAUUGGCGUCCACUCAAAGCACAGAAAAAUUCGGUCCAAGGAAAGCUGACGUGGAUACACAACUCACAUUAAGCCAGCGGUUUCACUGGACCAGGGAACAGGAGGCCAGAAGAACAUUGAUGCCUCUUGGGAUUGAGAAUGACUUGCUUCUACUCUUGCGUUUUGGGUUCUGAGAUGCCAAAUGAGGCUAACAUGGGAACUGUGCUCCAUCAUAGAUGGGUCAGAAAGUGGCAAGUGGGUAAACUGUAAGAUGAUGCACUCCUUCCUCUGUGUAGGCUACGCCCAGUAGUCCAUGACUUCGAUACCAGAUGUAGUGACUUCGAUACCAGAUGUAGUGUCUUCAAAUACCCUUUUCACCAUUCAAUGAAUAGUAGCAGCAAUACCUGCUGGAAGGAAUA